rnacentral:misc_RNA from 1 species
CCGAAGUUACCCUUCAAACCCAUUGUGAACUUACCCCUGACGCGUUGCCUCGGCGGACGUCCAGGGCGGGUCCGGCUCCGGCCGCCCCGUCCCGGCCCCCGCCGGCAGCGCCAAACUCUUACUGUAAAGCGGACUGCAUAUUCUGAUUAGAUUUUUAAAACAAGUCA